rnacentral:rRNA from 1 species
GAGUUUGAUCGUGGCUCAGAACGAACGCUGGCGGCAGGCCUAACACAUGCAAGUCGAGCGCUGUAGCAAUACAGAGCGGCGCACGGGUGAGUAACACGUGGGAACGUGCCCUUUGGUUCGGAAUAACUCAGGGAAACUUGAGCUAAUACCGGAUGAGCCCUAACGGGGAAAGAUUUAUCGCCGAAGGAGCGGCCCGCGUUGGAUUAGCUAGUUGGUGGGGUAAAAGCCUACCAAGGCAACGAUCCAUAGCUGGUUUGAGAGAACGACCAGCCACACUGGGACUGAGACACGGCCCAGACUCCUACGGGAGGCAGCAGUGGGGAAUCUUGGACAAUGGGGGAAACCCUGAUCCAGCCAUGCCGCGUGAGUGAUGAAGGCCCUAGGGUUGUAAAACUCUUUCGGCGGGGACGAUAAUGACGGUACCCGCAGAAGAAGCUCCGGCUAACUUCGUGCCAGCCGCCGCCGUAAC